AAUGGUUUCCAAAAAAAUACGUCCUUCCAGAUGACAACGGCAUCGACAUGAUGACAACAUCAAUUUUUCCACGUCUUCUUCCACUUGUGGCUAAAUUUAAAACUUGCCAAACACUGUGUUUACAUGACAUGCGUACAUAAAAUAAUUUUGUAUAACUUUAGCCAAUACAGCGUAAAGUGGUUUUCUCAAAGGCCAAGUAAACUGAAAGAGAAAGUUGCAGGCAUGUUUCUAUAUCGUCUCUCAUGAAGUAAGAAAAUCUAUGGAAAAAAGGAUUGUACAAGAAAACUGCUUUUUUGCUUUAAAUAAUUGAAUUUUCGGAAAUUAUUGUGUAUGUCGUCAUAAAAUUUAAACAUUGUUGCGAAAAUAAACUCCGAGAAGAUUUUACAAACGAGUCUGAAAGCAGUGCAACAAUAAUCAAAAGCACAAGUAAAUUAAGGACGCCCUUCGAACUCGGAAAAAGUAGAUGAUGACAGUCAAUCAGAAGAACACAUAGGAAUCUUAAACGUGGAUUAAUAAUAUGGGGAAAAAGUUUUUUGUUUGAAGACAUUUGUUCUUUCAAAUUUCCGGAUUUUUCCCAGCGUGCCUUGAAGAUUGCCUUUGUGUAAUGAAUGCCUAGCGGAAAGUCACAGACUAUUUCCUUCGCUAACACACUAAGAGUUGUCUGUUUUAAGUUCAUUUAAAAGCAUGUUCAAGCCAAAGUGUGGCGCCAUCGAGAUGAUCCUAGAAUAAAGAUGAGACUGAGAGCGGUACUAAUGUCUCUGUCAAGAAAUUAACAAAUGGAGCAGAAAACGUGGAAGUCUGUCUUUGCAAGGGGCAAAGCGCCAACUUCGAACAGAAAUCUGUGAAAAACCUAAAGGAGGGAAAACCAUUAAACAUACAACGGCAAUUUCCUGACUCUAAAAUAUCGCAACAAUAUUUCUUCUAUUCAUCCGAAUAUUUUACAUUAAUUUUAAAAUGCCAUUCCUCAACAUACCCUUUCGUUAAACUAAACAUAAUCUUUAGGGUACCAUUUCAAAGAAAAAACAUAGAAAUGCAAAAAAUUGGAUAAAUUUUCACAAGCGUUAAUGAAUGAGUGACAUUUACUUUUUAUUUUCAUUUAUUUAUUUAUUAAAUAACUAUAUAAACAAAUUUCUUUUUACACAAUAGAUACUUUCCUUACGCAACAUAUAGUAAAUUUUGCGAAUAUGUUCCACAACUUUAGAAGAUCGUGUAAGAUGAAAAUCUCUAAAUAUUUUUCCAGAAGACCGUGCAAAAAAAGUAACAUUGAAACUCAUAUCUCAUUUGGACUCAUGCUAGAACAAAACAUACGUGUAAAAACGUGUUAUUUUAAAAUCGUAUAACAAAGACGGCGCAAAAAAAAAGUGUGGCGUAUAUAGUUACUAGAUACAUUUCUUGUGCAAAAAGAUACUACAACAUAGGUGCAUACAUAAUACAGGCAAACUGGAUGGGCACAAACUUUGUAAUAAGCAAAUCAUAUCAGCAAACAAAAUGUAUGUAACGAAGUUGGCAAUGUAGUCAAUUUUCUUCUGAACAUACGCAAGGAAUCAUCGAAGAUUUCUCUUGAGUUUGCAAUCAAGGGUUACAAUCAAGGAUUGCAAUCAAGAAUGGACAAAAACUAAACGUUUUUAUUGAAAUACUCGCCAAUCACACAAACCCAAUAUUUUUAAAAGUCCAUGUGGUUUUCAUUAAGCACACUUGCUAUUGCAAG